rnacentral:rRNA from 1 species
GACGGAGGGUGCUAGCGUUGUUCGGAAUUACUGGGCGUAAAGGGCGCGUAGGCGGCCUGGUCAGUCGGAUGUGAAAGCCCGGGGCUCAACCCCGGAACGGCAUCCGAGACGGCCAGGCUGGAGACCGGGAGAGGAGAGUGGAAUAGCCAGUGUAGAGGUGAAAUUCGUAGAUAUUGGCUGGAACACCGGUGGCGAAGGCGGGUCUCUGGGCCGAUACUGACGCUGGAGGAGCGAAAGCGUGGGGAGCGAACAGG